rnacentral:rRNA from 1 species
UAACGCGUGGAUAACCUGCCUUGCACUGGGGGAUAACACUUAGAAAUAGGUGCUAAUACCGCAUAAGCGCACAGAGCCGCAUGGCUCAGUGUGAAAAACUCCGGUGGUGUAAGAUGGAUCCGCGUCUGAUUAGCUAGUUGGCGGGGUAGAAGCCCACCAAGGCGACGAUCAGUAGCCGGCCUGAGAGGGUGAACGGCCACAUUGGGACUGAGACACGGCCCAAACUCCUACGGAAGGCAGCAG